UGUGGAAUAUUUUCUACUGUCAAUAGAAAAACUGGAGAAGAACCUAACUGCAAAGAAUUUCCAAAAGGAGCUACAGAAGCAGAGUUCAGUGUUGAUUCCUCAUGAUUGUCAGUAGGAUGAGAAAGCAUACCAAAGUUCCUUUAGAUUCGGUUCCUGACCUGCAUUGAGUACCUACUUUUGCCAGAGGCAUAGCUGGAAGAAUACAAUGAACAAGGAACCAUUCCUUCCUUCAGAAGGCUCAGUCUGGUCAGAGGGCUAACUGCAGGACAUAAACUGCUAACUAGAGUAGAAGGGUAAGCCACCUGCAGUUCUCUACAUCACCCAUGUGCUGUCACCACCUGGGUCAUUAACUUUCUGAAAAUAAACAGGAAUGUCCUAAUUUAUAAUAUUUGCCAAAUUACAUUGUGUGAAUGAAUACUCCCAGAAUGACUGAUUUCAAGUUACCAACUGUUUAAAUCAACUUUAAUGUUAUUGAAUAUUAAAG
rnacentral:lncRNA from 1 species